UAGGCUGACUGUUUUCAGGGCCAUGAGAC
rnacentral:piRNA from 1 species